CUCUGAAAAUUUGUUAACUAAUUGGCCUUGUUUUAUUUCGUUAUGUGAAGCAUGUUAAAGGCACAUCAUGGAUCUACAGAGCAACUGUAUUAGUGCAAUGAGGACAAGGCAUCUCAGAACCACAAUGCAGCUGACAGCCGCCCUUCAAGAAGUACUUUAAGGCUCUGAUAUGGGAUUCACCAAUACCACAGCUUCAGAUUCGAGUCAUCGGAACGUGGCAUUUUUAAGACCGGGACAUGAAGAAAGCAAACAAUGCAGAGGACGAAAAUUAUCCCUUUUGGUGACCCUGCUGACAGAUACUCCCAUAUAUAUCAACUGGAUUUUCCAAAUAGAAGGAAUAGGAUAUAUGGAAAGAUCUUAGAUGAUGACAAGGCACCUCGGCCUCCCAGGUAGGGGAGGAAAUGGAACAAUAAAUACAUGUUUUUCUUUGAAUGAACAAACUCUAUGAUUUUUUUCGAUUAAAAAACAUUAAACUUAAUUUAUAACGUUUGCUGACCCAUUAGAGGGAUGUCAUUGUAGAAAAUUGAAAUGUGGUAAGUUUGCUACUGUAUUAAGGAGUGUGUAAUAAUACUAAAGGCACACACUAAGCAGAGAUUGUCGUGUAUUAUAUCCUUUUUAGUGCAAAUUUGGACAGUGGAGAGCGAUGCAUAUCCCUGAGUUUUGCUAAUACUGCUGCAUAGAAAAGAGUAAAUGUAUGUAGUCUCUUCCAUAUCAAGAAUUAACCUCUGAAAUUAUAUUUUUAUUCAAGCAUUAGAUGUUUACAACGCAUUUCAUUCACACGUGUACAGAGUGUAGCAUAGAAAAGAAGAUUAUGUAUUUGUGAUUAUUUGUUAGUUAUAAUACCUGUCGUUUUAAUAUGUGGAGACAAGUUUUUAUGCAAAGUUUUUUUUUUCUUUUUAAACGAAGUGCCAAAAAAUCAUAAUCCUUCAGUGAUCCAGAUAAUUUGGCACUUAUUUGUGAAAUAUAUUUCCAUGACUACCCCAUCCCUAAAAAGAAACCAACUGUGGCCCAUUUCAAGAAAUGUUGAUAUGAUCCCUUGCUCGAAUGAAAACUACCAUGAAAACAGUGAAACUUCUGCUUCCUGAUUCGCUCGUUCAAUGAAAGUUGAUAUUUCGUCAAGAGUUGCUGUCAUAUUAAACCUUUAUGAAAUGUAGCUCACAUCAGCUUUAUUGCCACAUUUGAAUUUUGUUUGUGUUUAUUUUCCAAAGCUUAAGCAUGAUUUUUUUUUAGAUUUUACUUUGCGAGAAAGUAAAGUAUGGACAAACAGCAAGGUAGUGUCUUUUUUUUUGGGGGGGGGGUUGUGGGCAGGGACGAAUCUAGGGUAGAGGUGGGCAGGGGCUUUGGCCCCACUUUUUUACCUAGAACGCAUGUAUAAACAUGUAAAAAAAAUACCAUUUGAUUGUGAUCUUUUUGUUUGCAUGGACAGCCCCCUCCCAUUUUCGAAAAUAUUCUGCGGCGUAUGUGGGGGUGGGCACCCCCAAAAAAAAUAAUAAGCUGCCCCCCCCAAAAAAAAGAAUUCAGAUAAAUAAUCCAACCCCAUCUGCCCCUGGUCAUUGGAUCUGGUGAUCUCCUCCCAUGUUAAAACUAUGCGCUAUGACGAAUGUAGCAUGACAAAUGGUCUCCAUAAGGGUUUUUUUUUGCAUAUAAUGUGAGUGUGUGGGUGUGGGUUCUAGUGUGGGUGUGGUUGAAUAUGCAUAAUAAUUUGUUUUAUUGUAUUCGCCUAGGUGUGUAUGUAUGAAAUUAUGUCUGCA